rnacentral:rRNA from 1 species
UACGUAGGGUGCAAGCGUUAUCCGGAAUUAUUGGGCGUAAAGAGCUCGUAGGCGGUUUGUCGCGUCUGCCGUGAAAGUCCGGGGCUCAACUCCGGAUCUGCGGUGGGUACGGGCAGACUAGAGUGAUGUAGGGGGAGACUGGAAUUCCUGGUGUAGCGGUGAAAUGCGCAGAUAUCAGGAGGAACACCGAUGGCGAAGGCAGGUCUCUGGGGCAUUAACUGACGCUGAGGAGCGAAAGCAUGGGGAGCGAACAGG